rnacentral:tRNA from 1 species
UCCCUUGUGGCUCAGCUGGUUAAAGAAUCUGCCUGCAACGCAGGAGACCUGGGUUCGAUCCCUGGAUUGGGAA